AUUGAACGCUGGCGGCAGGCCUUACACAUGCAAGUCGGACGAGUGGCGGACGGGUGAGUAACAUAUCGGAACGUACCCAGUAAUGGGGGAUAACUAAUCGAAAGGUUAGCUAAUACCGCAUAUUAUUCGAGCGGCCGAUAUCGGAUUAGCUGGUUGGUGGGGUAAAGGCGUACCAAGGCGACGAUCAGUAGCGGGUCUGAGAGGAUGAUCGGGCAUACUGGGACUGAGACACGGGCCAGACUCCGACGUGAGGCAGCAGUGGGGAAUAUUGGACAAUGGGCGCAAGCCUGAUUCAGCCAUGCCGCGUGUAUGAAGAAGGCCUUCGGGUUGUAAAGGACUUUUGUCGGGGAAGCGGUACCUGAAGAAUAAGCACCGGCUAACUACGUGCCAGCAGCCGCGGUAAUAC
rnacentral:rRNA from 1 species